rnacentral:rRNA from 1 species
UACAGAGGUCCCGAGCGUUUGUUCGGAUUCACUGGGUUUAAAGGGUGCGUAGGUGGGUUGGUAAGUCAGUGGUGAAAUCUCCGUGCUUAACAUGGAAACUGCCAUUGAUACUACUGAUCUUGAAUUUUCGGGAGGUAAGCGGAAUAUGUCAUGUAGCGGUGAAAUGCUUAGAUAUGACAUAGAACACCAAUUGCGAAGGCAGCUUACUACAGGAAUAUUGACACUGAUGCACGAAAGCGUGGGGAUCAAACAGG